AAACUGAAGAGUUUGAUCCUGGCUCAGAUUGAACGCUGGCGGAAUGCUUUACACAUGCAAGUCGAGCGGCAGCGCGGUCUUCGGACUGGCGGCGAGCGGCGAACGGGUGAGUAAUGCAUCGGAACAUGCCCAGUCGUGGGGGAUAACACUUCGAAAGAAGUGCUAAUACCGCAUACGUCCUGAGGGAGAAAGCGGGGGAUCGCAAGACCUCGCGCGAUUGGAGUGGCCGAUGUCAGAUUAGCUAGUUGGUGGGGUAAAGGCCUACCAAGGCAACGAUCUGUAGCUGGUCUGAGAGGAUGAUCAGCCACACUGGGACUGAGACACGGCCCAGACUCCUACGGGAGGCAGCAGUGGGGAAUUUUGGACAAUGGGGGAAACCCUGAUCCAGCCAUUCCGCGUGAGUGAAGAAGGCCUUCGGGUUGUAAAGCUCUUUCAGCAGGAACGAAACGGUCCCCGCUAACAUCGC
rnacentral:rRNA from 1 species